rnacentral:rRNA from 1 species
UACGUAGGGGGCGAGCGUUAUCCGGAUUUAUUGGGCGUAAAGCGUGCGUAGGCGGCUUGUUAAGUCCAGAAUUAAAGCCCGAGGCUUAACCUCGGUUCGUUCUGGAUACUGGCAAGCUUGAGUAUGGUAGAGGCAAAUGGAAUUCCUAGUGUAGCGGUGAAAUGCGUAGAUAUUAGGAGGAACACCAGUGGCGAAGGCGAUUUGCUGGGCCAUCACUGACGCUGAGGUACGAAAGCGUGGGUAGCAAAUAGG